CUCUGAGAUUGCACUGCUGAGCACGUAGCUGCGGCGGUCACAGGAACUCACAUGCCAAAGAACUGGGAAGAAUGUUUUAAAAACCUGGAAAGAACCGGUUUCCUUUUCUGCAGCCUAACAAAUACCUCCUUGAGGGAAGUAGGAAGCUUUCAGAACUCCCUCACUAUCCAGAGGCUUAUCAUUGUGUGAAGGAUCAGAGUUUGUCAAGGCAAAGAGAAUCAAAACUAUUUACUCAGGCUUGGAAUUGAUCAGGUGCUCGGGAGGCUCGGAGCAGGGGAGCGGCGGCUCCUGGACUUUAACCCCCGUGUUUGUGGAAGCAGUGACUAUGAUGAUGAUAGGAGAGCUGGCGCCCUCACGCGCUUGUCACCUGCUGCGGGCAUCAGUGAGCGCUUGCUGCCGCCUCUGAGAUAAGGAGGGCUCUGUAGAAACUCACCUGGGCCACCUCCACUCGGAAGCCCUCCUUUCUUUCCUGCUAGACAAGAAGCGCCUGGAGCAGCCGAGGGAACACACCUGGUGGCAACGCCUGGUUCCCACUUUCGAACCUCAGGAUUGAGAGAGGGAUGAACGCGGGAAGUCUGAGGACACACUCUGUCCUGCCCUUAACUGUGACUGUCCGAGCCACCUAGGGGGACACGUGGGAGGCAGUCCCAGGGAGGCUGUACUAGAGAGGUGCUGCCCCCAACAGAAGCCGGGAGUCCCUGCCUGGGCCCAAGCUCCUGCCAUUCUCUAAGUGAUGCAGAGAGGGCCCCACCGCCGGGAGGGGCUUUCUGGCACAGCUGUUCUCGCCCCUGCACUCUGAAGAAGAGUAGAUACCUAGAUACAGUAAGUAAAGGAAAAGAACUGAGCAUUUCUCUCCCUUUUUAGGAGGACCAUCAAUUUAUCUUGGUCAAAGAAGGG
rnacentral:lncRNA from 1 species